rnacentral:rRNA from 1 species
ACUCCUACGGGAGGCAGCAGUAGGGAAUCUUCCACAAUGGACGAAAGUCUGAUGGAGCAACGCCGCGUGAACGAUGAAGGCUUUCGGGUCGUAAAGUUCUGUUGUAAGGGAAGAACAAGUGCCGCAGGCAAUGGCGGCACCUUGACGGUACCUUGCGAGAAAGCCACGGCUAACUACGUGCCAGCAGCCGCGGUAAUACGUAGGUGGCAAGCGUUGUCCGGAAUUAUUGGGCGUAAAGCGCGCGCAGGCGGCCUCUUAAGUCUGAUGUGAAAGCCCCGGCUCAACCGGGGGAGGGCCAUUGGAAACUGGGAGGCUUGAGUAUAGGAGAGAAGAGUGGAAUUCCACGUGUAGCGGUGAAAUGCGUAGAGAUGUGGAGGAACACCAGUGGCGAAGGCGACUCUUUGGCCUAUAACUGACGCUGAGGCGCGAAAGCGUGGGGAGCAAACAGGAUUAGAUACCCUGGUAGGAUAGCG